rnacentral:rRNA from 1 species
GACGAACCGUGCGAACGUUGUUCGGAUUCACUGGGCUUAAAGGGCGCGUAGGCGGGCCGUCAAGUCUGUGGUGAAAGCCCCCGGCUCAACCGGGGAAGUGCCGCGGAUACUGGCGGUCUCGAGGGGUGCAGGGGCAUGUGGAACUUCCGGUGGAGCGGUGAAAUGCGUAGAUAUCGGAAGGAACGCCGGUGGCGAAAGCGACGUGCUGGACACCUACUGACGCUGAGGCGCGAAAGCCAGGGGAGCAAACGGG